rnacentral:rRNA from 1 species
UGCGUAGGCGGAAUAUUAAGUCAGUGGUGAAAUCUUUCGGCUCAACCGGGAAACUGCCAUUGAUACUGUUUAUCUUGAGUUCGGUAGAGGUAGGCGGAAUGUGUAAUGUAGCGGUGAAAUGCUUAGAUACUACACAGAACACCAAUUGCGUAGGCAGCUUACUAUGCCGACACUGACGCUGAGGCACGAAAGCGUGGGGAGCGAACAGGAUUAGAUACCCUGGUAGUCC